GACGAACGCUGGCGGCGUGCUUAACACAUGCAAGUCGAACGGAAAGGCCCUGCUUGCAGGGUACUCGAGUGGCGAACGGGUGAGUAACACGUGGGUGAUCUGCCCUGCACUUCGGGAUAAGCCGGGGAAACUGGGUCUAAUACCGGAUAGGAGCCAUUUUUAGUGUGAUGGUUGGAAAGUUUUUUCGGUGUAGGAUGAGCUCGCGGCCUAUCCGCUUGUUGGUGGGGUAAUGGCCUACCAAGGCGGCGACGGGUAGCCGGCCUGAGAGGGUGGACGGCCACAGUGGGACUGAGAUGCGGCCCAGACUCCGACGGGAGGCAGCAGGGGGGAGUAUUGCACAAGGGGCGCAAGCCGGAUGCAGCGACGCCGCGUGGGGGAUGACGGCCUUCGGGUUGUAAACUCCUUGCGCUAGGGACGAAGCUUUUUGUGACGGUACCUAGAGAAGAAGCACCGGCUAACUACGUG
rnacentral:rRNA from 1 species